UGGGGCGUGGCCAAGCGGUAAGGCAUGGGACUUUGGAUCCCAGACUCGUAGGUUCGAAUCCUACCGCCCCAGCCA
rnacentral:tRNA from 1 species